AGAAGGCUUAUCCCAUCAAACAAAAAUAUUAUUUGUUUUUGUUAUAAAAAUGCUAAUAACUUACCUCUGAAGGUUUUUAUUAAACUUUCCAGGCCCUUUUCUCUUUUUCAACGACUCUCAUCAUACUUGCUUCUCGCCUCAAUUCUCUCGCAUAGGCGGGAAGACAAAGAUGAACUUUUUGGGACGAUGGUAGGGCACGAUCUAAUUUCCAGUAGGUUAAAUCACAGAAAAAGAAUUUAUAUCUACGUUUUUUACGUAGGGUUAAUCCUCUUGAUAUUUAAUAAAGCGGGCUUUUGUUUCUAAAAGUACCGAUUUAUAAUUCUAAAUUGUCAAAUGCCCCACCUCGGGCAGACCUUUUGCAAUCAAAUGACUACAACCUGUCAAAUGCACGUCAAAUGCCCCCCGGGGGAGGAUGGGCCGGUCUGGAAUUGACAGAGCCAUAACAAUGGUCACUCUAAUUGUAGCGGCAAUGGUGAUGCGCAAAAUGUUAAUAAUACGACUUUUUUUCACCGGCAUAAGCACUCUUGAUGAGCAUGUCAUGUUCAAAUAUUGUUUUAAAAAACAAACAAACAAAAACAAUAUAAAGCCUAUCUUCGCCGGCUCGUAAAGAUUGCCUGGGUGAUUGACUUGUUUCUUUCCUUUCUUAAAACCAGCAAUGUAUAACUAUUCUCGCUAUUUCUAAAGAUUUUAGAUCUUCAGUUGCGAGCCGUCCAUCAGCGUCAAAGAAAAGAGACUUCCAAAAAGUGCGAGAAAGAUAAGAGACAACACGACAAGGUGAAGUUGUUUUGCCGUAAGUGCCAGGUGUUCGCGUGCAGUGGAAAUGACAUCAGGUGUAUAAAGGAAGCCCAUCACGUGGUCAUUGAUAAAGACUUCACGUCCAAAUUUCAUUUCAAGAAAAGCAAGAGUCCCAGAGUGUUGAAUGAAAUUGAACUGACAGGGCCUUUGCACUGCCUGGAUUGCGAUGCGGAGUGGGGUGUGAUGCUGAAGUAUCAGUCCAAGGAAAUGCCUUGUAUCAAAGCUUCCUGCUUUGGAUUUGAGUUUGAGAAUGAGGCUGGCGUGAAAACGACACUCUCCUUCAAGAAGUGGAAAGAUGUGCGAAUGAAUGUUGAAAGCUUCGAGCACUGCCAAACACAAGUUUUAGAUUGUUUCUUGGACUUAGCUGAGCUGUGCUUAGAUUAGUUAUCUGCGGUCUGUAGUUAUUUAGCUAGCAGCAAUGACAAUUAUUAUUGCAAUAUACAAAUAUAAACAAAGCAAGAUAGGCUGACGCAGCGUUGUGUGCGCACAUGCACCAAGAGGAUUUAAAGUAAGGUAGAAAUAACAGCCGCGUAAUUGAUGUCGGCAAUAAAAGUUUAGUUUACGUACAAUUAUUAAAGUUUGCUCAGAAGGGAGGGGGCGUCUCUAAGCAAGACAUUGGUCGAGUCAUCACUGCCAGUGUGCAUGGGAAUUAGUGUGGCCUCUCACUACUUAACUAAUAGCCUUAUCUUGGUGCCUUGUGUAGUCAAUCACUGCACAGGACUUGAUUCAUCUUGCUCGUUCGUGGAGCUAGCCAUGUAAUAACAAGAGGAAAAAUAUGUAUUACCAGACGUAAACGUAUUGUGUGAACCGCGUCAGAAUUACAACACGAGAACCAAAGGGCACAUACCUAAAAAUAAAUUCUUUCUCUGAAAUUAAGUAGCAUUUGCGUUCGGAUUCCUACAGGUAAUAGUUAUCUAUUGUCAAGACCAGGUUGCAGGACAUGCUAUUUUGAUAAACUUAAAACAUUUUGGUAAGGAUCGUUAGAAUCAAUAGUUACGGACAGUUGAUAUAGUCACAUAGAAAUGAGGAACGACAACAAAAUGGCAUUUGUUAAAAGGUCCUUGCUGCAAGGGUGCAACAAUGUAUUUAAAAAACCAGAACUUUGAACUUUAUGCAAAUGUAAAAAAUAAUCUUUAAUGUAAAAAUAAAAUGUGUGGCUGAAGAUCAUUAAAAUGGAACAAGUCUUUACUUGUU